UACGUAGGGGGCAAGCGUUGUCUGGAUUUAUUGGGCGUAAAGAGCGUGUAGGCGGCCAGACAGGUCAGCUGUGAAAACUCGAGGCUCAACCUCGAGACGUCGGUUGAAACCGUUUGGCUAGAGUCCGGAAGAGGAGAGUGGAAUUCCCGGUGUAGCGGUGAAAUGCGCAGAUAUCAGGAGGAACACCAAUGGCGAAGGCAGCACUCUGGGACGUGACUGACGCUGAGACGCGAAAGCGUGGGGAGCAAACAGG
rnacentral:rRNA from 1 species